ACUGCUCAGUAACACGUGGCUAAUCUGCCCUCAGGACGAGAACAACCCCGGGAAACUGGGGCUAAUUCUCGAUAGGCGAAGAACUCUGGAAUGAGUCUUUACCUGAAUAGUGCAACAUUAUCCUCGUUGCAUCGCCUAAGGAUGAGGCCGCGACCGAUCAGGUUGUUGGCGAGGUAAUGGCUCACCAAGCCUUUUACCGGUGCGGGCCGUGAGAGCGGGAGCCCGGAGAUGGGCACUGAGACAAGGGCCCAGGCCCUACGGGGCGCAGCAGUCGCGAAAACUUUGCAAUAAGCGAAAGCUUGACAGGGCUAUCCCGAGUGCCAUCCGCUGAGGAAGGCUUUUACCCAGUCUAGAACGCUGGGGGAAUAAGGAGAGGGCAAGUCUGGUGUCAGCCGCCGCGGUAAUACCAGCUCUCCGAGUGGUGUGGAUGUUUAUUGGGCCUAAAGCAUCCGUAGCUGGCUAAGUUAGUCCCUUGUUAAAUCCACCGAAUUAAUCGUUGGAUUGCGGGGGAUACUGCUUGGCUAGGGGACGAGAGAGGCAGACGGUAUUUUCGGGGUAGGGGUGAAAUCCUAUAAUCCCGGGAAGACCACCAGUGGCGAAGGCUGUCUGCUAGAACGCGCCCGACGGUGAGGGAUGAAAGCUGGGGGAGCGAACCGGAUUAGAUACCCGGGUAGUCCCAGCUGUAAACGAUGCAGGCUAGGUGUUUGGACGGCCACGUGCCGUUCUAGUGCCGCAGGGAAGCUGUUAAGCCUGCCGCCUGGGGAGUACGAUCGCAAGAUUGAAACUUAAAGGAAUUGGCGGGGGAGCAC
rnacentral:rRNA from 1 species